rnacentral:rRNA from 1 species
GGAAACGGCUGAUAAUACCGCAUAAGCGCACGAAUGUCGCAUGACAUGGUGUGAAAAACUCCGGUGGUAUAGGAUGGACCCGCGUCUGAUUAGCCGGUUGGUGGGGUAAAAGCCUACCAAAGCGAAGAUCAGUAGCCGAGUUGAGAGACUGACCGGCCACAUUGGGACUGAGACACGGCCCAGACUCCUACGGGAGGCAGCAGGU